rnacentral:rRNA from 1 species
CCUACGGGAGGCAGCAGUGAGGAAUAUUGGUCAAUGGGCGGGAGCCUGAACCAGCCAAGCCGCGUGAGGGAAGAAGGUACAGCGUAUCGUAAACCUCUUUUGUCAGGGAACAAAGGCGGGGACUAGUCCCCGGAUGAGGGUACCUGAAGAAAAAGCAUCGGCUAACUCCGUGCCAGCAGCCGCGGUAAUACGGAGGUUGCGAGCGUUAUCCGGAUUUAUUGGGUUUAAGGGGUGCGCAUGCGGCCUGUUAAGUCAGCGGGAAAAGCCCGGGGCUCAACCCCGGCGAGCCGUUGAAACUGGCGGGCUGGAGUGGGAGAGAAGUACGCGGAAUGCGCGGUGUAGCGGUGAAAUGCUUAGAUAUCGCGCAGAACCCCGAUUGCGAAGGCAGCGUACCGGCUCCACACUGACGCUGAGGCACGAAAGCGUGGGUAUCGAACAGGGUUAGAUACCCCUGUAGUC